rnacentral:rRNA from 1 species
CCUACGGGUGGCAGCAGUGGGGAAUAUUGCACAAUGGGGGAAACCCUGAUGCAGCGACGCCGCGUGAGUGAAGAAGUAUUUCGGUAUGUAAAGCUCUAUCAGCCGGGAAGAAAAUGACGGUACCUGAUUAAGAAGCCCCGGCUAACUACGUGCCAGCAGCCGCGGGAAUACGGAGGGGGCAAGCGUUAUCCGGAUUUACUGGGUGUAAAGGGAGCGUAGACGGCAGCACAAGUCUGGAGGGAAAUGCCGGGGCUUAACCCCGGAACUGCUUUGGAAACAGUGGGGCUAGAGUGCAGGAGAGGUAAGUGGAAUGCCUGGUGUAGCGGUGAAAUGCGUAGAUAUUAGGAGGAACACCAGUGGCGAAGGCAGCUUACUGGACUGUAACUGACGUUGAGGCACGAAAGCGUGGGGAGCAAACAGGAUUAGAUACCCUUGUAGUC